rnacentral:rRNA from 1 species
AGUGAAUAGAUACCCAGGUAGUCCUAGCCGUAAACGAUACUCGCUAGGUGUCGGCCACGGUGCGACCGUUGUCGGUGCCGUAGGGAAAGCCGUGAAGCGAGCCACCUGGGGAAGUACGGCCGCAAGGCUGAAACUUAAAGGAAUUGGCGGGGGAGCACCACAACGGGUGGAGCUUGCGGUUUAAAUUGGAUUCAACGCCGGAAAUCUUACCGGGACCGACAGCAACAUGAAGGCCAGGCUGAAGACUUUGCCGGAUUAGCUGAGAGGUGGUGCAUGGCCGUCGUCAGUUCGUACUGUGAAGCAUCCUGUUAAGUCAGGCAACGAGCGAGACCCACGCCCACAGUUGCCAGCGUACUCUCCGGAGUGACGGGUACACUGUGGGGACCGCCGCUGCUAAAGCGGAGGAAGGAAUGGGCAACGGUAGGUCAGUAUGCCCCGAAUAUCCCGGGCUACACGCGAGCUACAAUGGUUGGUACAAUGGGUAUCUA